UACGUAGGGUGCAAGCGUUGUCCGGAAUUAUUGGGCGUAAAGAGCUCGUAGGCGGUUUGUCGCGUCUGCUGUGAAAACCCGAGGCUCAACCUCGGGCCUGCAGUGGGUACGGGGCAGACUAGAGUGGCGGUAGGGGAGAUUGGAAUUCCUGGUGUAGCGGUGAAAUGCGCAGAUAUCAGGAGGAACACCGGUGGCGAAGGCGGGUCUCUGGGGCAACAACUGACGCUGAGGAGCGAAAGCGUGGGGAGCGAACAGG
rnacentral:rRNA from 1 species